AUUGAACGCUGGCGGCAGGCCUAACACAUGCAAGUCGAACGAGUGGCGGACGGGUGAGUAAUGUCUGGGAAACUGCCCGAUGGAGGGGGAUAACUACUGGAAACGGUAGCUAAUACCGCAUACCAUCGGAUGUGCCCAGAUGGGAUAGCUAGUAGGUGGGGUAACGGCUCACCUAGGCGACGAUCCCUAGCGGGUCUGAGAGGAUGACCAGCCACACGGUAACGGAUAUACGGUCCUGCCUCCUACGGGAGCCAGCAGGGGGGAAUAUUGCACAAUGGGCGGAAUCCUGAGGCAGCCAUGCCGCGUGUAUGAAGAAGGCCUUCGGUUUGUAAAGUACUUUCAGCGAGGAGGCGUUACUCGCAGAAGAAGCACCGGCUAACUCCGUGCCAGCAGCCGCGGUAAUUC
rnacentral:rRNA from 1 species